GAGAGCGAAUCCUGUGAACUCCUUAGAUCACGGGAAACGUGUACCCUCCAAAUAGUAUUGCCCUCUGUAAAAUGGAGCUCCCUAAACUUCCGUUAAUGGGAUGAAUCUGGUUUGAAUAGGAUAGAAAAAUACAAAAAAAAAGAGAAAAAAGAAUCCAUCAACGGUACUCAUUACAUUACCGCUCGUAGAAGCCGUUGUUUAUUUUGGUGGAAUGGUUUCUUGAGUUACAUGCGUCUAACCAGUGGAGGAGGUGUUGAAGCUCUCUCGAGGGACAAUCGUAGGCUUUAAAAAGGGGAUAGUUUUUUUUUAAUGGCUAACGUAUUUGUUUCCAGCCUUCCAGCGCCAGCUUGUGCAAGUAUCACUGAAUACAUCUAAAACCCCAUGUUUGCGUCUUGAUCUUCCUACUCCUUUGUGGCAGCUCAACCGACACAGCGGCGUGGUGGCGAUUCGGCUGCAGCAGCUGAACCCAACAGUUGUAUUGGGGGUGGUGGUUCCCGAAAGGAUGGAUGUUUCUCGGAGCUUCAAUCUAUUCCAAAUGCGCAGAGAUUGUUAACGGCAGCACCACUAGAGUGGAAAAAUGUGGCUUUGGAAUGAAGAUUAGGAAAGUAUGUUUGUCGGAAUUUGUAGAUUUGGCUAGUCAAGAACAAUCACUUUUUCGAUGAAUCAUGUGCGACAUAGAUGACCCAUCUUCUGGUUUUAAGCAUUCAUUCCAGGGUGGGGGUUCUUCGGAGGAGUUUAAAGGCAAUGCCGGGAUCGUCAACAAGGCUUUGUGUUGGAAUCCGUUGGGAGAGGAGCUUUUGGGAGCGGUAAUGUAAUAAAUACUGCCAGUGCCGGUGGAUUCAGACAGAUUCUUUUCAUUUUUUAUCUUUUUUUAUGUCGUUCAAUCGGAUUCAUUUAUUAAAAGAGUUGGAACAUUAACAGAAGAUUCAUUUUGAA